rnacentral:rRNA from 1 species
AUUGAACGCUGGCGGCAUGCUUUACACAUGCAAGUCGAACGGUAACAGGGUGCUUGCACCGCUGACGAGUGGCGAACGGGUGAGUAAUACAUCGGAAUGUACCCAGUAAUGGGGGAUAACGCUUCGAAAGGAGUGCUAAUACCGCAUACGCCCUGAGGGGGAAAGUGGGGGACCGCAAGGCCUUACGUUAUUGGAGCCGCCGAUGGCUGAUUAGCUAGUUGGUGAGGUAAAGGCUCACCAAGGCGACGAUCAGUAGCGGGUCUUAGAGGACGAUCCGCCACACUGGAACUGAGACACGGUCCAGACUCCUACGGGAGGCAGCAGUGGGGAAUCUUGGACAAUGGGCGAAAGCCUGACCCAGCAAUGCCGCGUGCAGGAAGAAGGCCUUCGGGUUGUAAACUGCUUUUGUCAGGGAAGAAAUCCUCUAGGUUAAUACCCUUGGGGGGAUGACGGUACCUGAAGAAUAAGCACCGGCUAACUACGUGCCAGCCGCCGCCGUAAGAC